GAAAAAGGAACUUCUAUUAAGGUCGCCCACGUCCUGUGGGCAACAUAGAAGUCAGCACCUCGUGUGCA
rnacentral:sRNA from 1 species